UACGUAGGUGGCAAGCGUUGUCCGGAUUUACUGGGCGUAAAGAGCGCGCAGGCGGCCAAGUCAGUCGAAUGUGAAAGCCCCCCGGCUUAACUGGGGAGGGUCAUUCGAUACUGCUCGGCUCGAAGACAGGAGAGGGAAGCGGAAUUCCCGGUGUAGUGGUGAAAUGCGUAGAUAUCGGGAGGAACACCAGUGGCGAAGGCGGCUUUCUGGCCUGUUCUUGACGCUGAGGCGCGAAAGCUAGGGGAGCAAACGGG
rnacentral:rRNA from 1 species